UCAACACUUCCAUUUCCAUCUCUGUCCAUGGCAUUGAAGAAUUGGUGUCCCAGAGUUUGAACAUCCGACGGUGCAGCGUAGUAUUGAGACACUACAAAGUUCCGAAGGUUUGCCAUUGCGCAGUCUUGUUGGUACGAGGACAUUCUAACGAUAUAUGAUAACUAUGUUGAAUCUAGGUUUUUUUUUGGGUACGAUGAACUGGAUUUUAACAUGCUUAUUUAUAGACACAUGUCCUCUCAAUUACUCCCUCUGUUAUGAAUUAACAGUCGUUUAAGGUUUUUACACAAUUCUUAAGAAAAAACAACUUUUCAUGUGAACUACGAUUAAUGCUGAAUAAAUUCUCUUUCAUACCCCUGUGUGGUUACUUGAACUAAUGUGAAAUUAAAGCAUUGAACAGGGUUAAUACAGGAAGUGGAAGCAGUGUUUGGUAUUGAAAAAUGAGAACGACUGUUAUUAAAUGACAAGCUAAGUUUUCUAAAACGUCCAUUAAAUCCAAACAGAGGGAGUAUUGAGGGAGUUAGCUAAAGCUUCCUCAAUGUGCGAGUAUAUUUAAAAGUCGCGCAGUUACACGUUGACGAAGUCUCCAUGCUAGCUUGGUCAACUCAAGGAGAUGUGUGUGUAUAAAUAAACAAUAAUACUAAAAACUUGUUCAUCGUAUUUAACAUCAAAUACUAAGCAAGAUAGCUCACAGUCACUAGCAGAUUGAAAAACUCGUAUUCAUUGUUAAAUGUCGUCGUACCAACAAGACUUCGCAAUGGCAAACCUCUGGCACUUUGUAGUGGCUCAAUACUAUGCUGCACCGUGGCAAGCUCAAACUAUGGCACACCAAUUCUUCAAUUCCAUGGACAGAGAUGGAAAUGGAAGUGUUGAUUAUAGUGAGUUCAAGAAUUUCUUAGUUUCCGAAGGCUUUGAAUACUACGCAGGCAGGAAUUUGUUUUCCAAGUUAGAUGGAGACAGAAAUCGGGGACUGGAUUUCUGGGAGAUCAUGACACUUUACUAUAUUCUCAAAUGUGGGAGACCCUUCUGUUUCAGAUGCGACAAUUUUUUGUGGGACGCUUAUUGUGUUUACAAUGAAUGUCGCGGAGGCCCCUGCUAUUUCUGCAGCAACUGUUAUCAAUGCCACCUCCAAGAGCACACAUUUUUUGUUCAGGUUUGUUGUUUGUACAAUUGCGCCCAUUAUUGUUGAUCAUAUAAGUAUUUGAUUGUUCGAUUAUGUUGUAUAUUGAUAAUGCAGCCGACGGGAAGUCCUUUAGUUCAAAGGUCUGAAACGCCUAAUGUAAGUGCAAUGUGUUGUAUAUAUGGUGGUAACUUGGAUUUUUCUGAAGUCGUGUGAACACUUUCAGAUUGAAGUUAUUUGUGGUUCACCAAAUAAUUCAAUCGGAUUAAAUCAGAAAUUCUGCAAGAAGAGAGAAUGUGUUUUGUUGUGUAUUUCAAAUGAACCAUAUCUUUGAAAUGAUCAAUGCAACAUCAAUAUAUAGAUGUCAAUAGACGUGUCUUUUUGAUAAUAGACACAUCUUAAUCCAAAUAGAUUUGUCUAAUGGUAAUAGAAACAUCUUAUCCCAAUAGAUGUGUCUAAUGUCAAUGAACAAAUCUAAUGCCAAUAGACACUUUUUUUCCGAUAGAUAUGUCUAAUGCCAAUGAACAUGCCUCAUAAGCACUAAUAAUCAUAAUAAACUCGAACUAAGCAUACACUCCGUACUCUCCUGACUUGUUCGAUAUAAUAUUAUGAUUACAUUGAUCAACUAGUUAAUUCAAUUACACUAAAAUAACCAACACAAUGACUAUGUAUUCUUCUGGUGGCAAUCCUUCGCAGCCUUCGUCGAACUAUGACAUGGUUGCUGUGAGCAGAGGUCAAAGUGUAUGUUCUGAACCUUUUUGUUCAUAGUUCAGUUUAACCUUAUAUAAAAUCCAUGUAUAAAUAUAUAAUAUAUGUUGAUGUCUUUUAUUUUAGGAAAAGGAUAAGCAUAGCUCAUUGAGGGCAGCGUACAGGGCAUUUGAGUUAGCACUGAGCGUGUUCAACGCGCGGCUGAGGUGGUGAACGCCGGUGCUGCUUCGUGUUCUAUUAUGUGAAUGAGAAUUAGAUCCUCCGUGUGUAUUAUUUAAAUUGUUAAUCACAUGUACUUCCAUUUUUUAGCUAGAUUUACUGCCACACAACCUGUCAAGUGAGCUGUAAUAAUCAUUCUGUCAAAAAAAAAAAAGCUGUAAUAAUUGUUUGUUCUUGUUUGUUACGUAAUGAAAUAUAUAUAUAGUAAUUCUAAUUCAAAAUAUUAAGUACAAAUGAACUAAACUACAAACCAAUACUUUUUAAGGCAAUGGGGAGGUUUGUGCACUUUGGGGACGGACUUCAAGCUUAGGGCUGUAAUUCGAACCGAGCCGGACAAGUUUCGAGCCGAGCCUAAUUCGAGUCAAGUUUAAUCUAGUCGAGCCGAGCCGGCUCGGUUCACUAAUCGAGCUUAAAUCUUUGCUCGAACUCGACUCGGUUAAUUUCACGAGUCGAGUCGAGCCGGCUCGUUUAGCUAAAUGAGCCGGUUUUAACGUGUCGAGCGAGCCACCUCAUAUAAUUUUACACUUAAUCGGGCCCAGAUCUCUACCCGAACUCGGCUCGUUUAAUUUCACGAGUCAAAUCGAGCUAGCUCGUUUAAUUAAACGAGCUGAAACCUUUGCUCGAACUCAGCUCGUUUAACGAGUCGAGGCGAGCCGAGUCCACUUAAACGAGUUCGAGCCGGGCGAGUUCGCGACCCGCCCGCCUCGAAUUAUAACUCUAUUCAAGGUGGGUCUUGAGACCUAGAUGGAGCUUGAUGGACGGGAAUGAGGCCUAGUUAGAAGGGGGUAUACUCAAGUAUUGGCUCUUGAGUUUGUCUUGAGCGUCUCUAGGGACUCUCUAGAGCCUUAGUAAGAUUUUAGUCGACCCGGGAUGAAUUGAGUAGGAUCGGGAGUGGGUUCCAAGUUGGUGAUAUCAUAUGGCAUUAGUUUAUCGUAAUUUGUAUUUAAGGUUUGUAUUAGAUCAGUAGAAUAUAUAUAUAUGUGUGUGUAUCAUGGAUAACUGAUAAAAUAGAAACCAAUGUUGUUUUGGAAACAACAAAUGACUUCCACAAUCACUAUCUAUGACAAUAUAAUCACCUGUUUAUACACUAUUAAUCACUAUUUUAUGUAAUAAAAUCAUUAAUUUUAAUUUAUAAUGAUUGAGAAAAUUUAUCUAUGCUUGCUAUUGGUGGUCGAUUGUUUAUAAUCAAAUAUAGUUGUAGGGGUCCAUGAUAGUAAAAAAAUGAUGAGAUAACGUGUGUGGUGGUGCUAAAUAGUCAUUAGUAGUGGCAAGUUAUGCUCGCAAGUGGCGAUAGGUCAAUCAUGGUUAUAGGGGACAAAGACAACAAUGAAGCGGAUUGAUAAUGUUGCUAGGAGGAUCAUCAAUGUAGUAGAAGUGACGAUGACGAUAAUGCAUGUUGUUUAUAUGUCUAUUUAAUAUGUUUAAUUAUAUUUGUGAGUUCUUUUAUAUAAAAAAUAGUCAUUUUGUAUCAAUUUUCGUAUCCCUAACAUUUUUCUUAAAAUAAUAUAUAGAUGGAUGAUAUUAAUCUUAUUUAUUAUUUUUAUUAUCAGUCAGAUGAUUACACUUAUUAUUUGAGAAUUUUUUUUUAACGAACUAAUUCAGGAUUUAUAUAAUUUUUUCCGUGAUUCUUUCUCUAUAUUGCAUUUAUGAAAAUUUACAUGGACGUAAAGAACCGUUAUAAAUUUGUCAUAAAAUGUUAUACGACACACAAGUGGAAUUUAUUAUACAUAAUAAAAUAGAUAAAUGCCAUUUCUAUGCUAAUGCAACCAUUACGAACUAAUCCAUUUUUGCAAACGAUAUUUCUAUCACGUGAUUAAUAAGAAGAAACAGUUAUUACAACUCGAGACUUAAUAAAUAAUCGUAUCAGAUCGUAGUAAAGGUAGAAAAUAGAGUACAUAUAACCAAGAACUUAGGUUUUACACAUGAUUUACUUAAUUUCUGUCACAUAAUAGAACAGCCACCACCGCCGGAAACUGUGUUGACUAUGUCGUACACCGUCCACGCGUUCAUUCCUAACUCAAAUGCGUCGAACGCUACUCUCAUUUUGCUCCUUAAACCCCUUUCCUGAAAUAACAGAUGUAAAUAAAAUAACGUCAUAAGUCCCUAUAGUAUCCAUCAAUUUCUUAAGGUUCAUUACAGAAAUAUGUGCAAAAAGGCUUAGAACAUACACUAGUACUGCCAUUCACAGCAUCCAUUUCAUAAUUUGGCGAAGAAGCCAUAGUCAUUGCGUUUGCAUUCGGCGUUUCAGACAUUAAAGGAUUGCUCGUCGGCUGCAUCCAACCACAUCAGAGGUAAAACAUCAAAUACCAACAUAAUUAGCAAGUAAAAUACUCCCUCCGUCCCAAUCAUUUGUUUACAUAUGAUUUGAGCAUGGAGAUUAACGAAUAUAUAUAGAGUAGUUGAAAAGAGAAAGAAAAGUGGGUGGAGUGGCGGGACUCAUUCAUUUUUAAUAUAUAAAAGAGAGAUAGUAGAGUAAGAGUAGUGUAAAAAGUGAAAAAAAGUGGGGAAGUGGUGAGACACAUUGAAUAUAUUUGGUAAGUUUAAAAUAUAAUUAAAGAAUUGGAUGGGACACUGAAAAAAGAAACUGUAUAGAAAUGAUUGAGACGGAAGGAGCAAUAUUAUGCUGUUAGAAACAACAAACCUUAACAGAAAAUGAGGGCUCUUGGAGGUGGCAUUGAUAACAAUUGUUGCAGAAAUAGUAGGGGCCUCCGCCACAAUCAUUGCAAACACUAUAAGCGUCCCCCAAAAAAAUGUCGCAUUUGACACAGAAGGGCUUCCUAGAUUUGAUAAUAUAGUAAAGAGUCAUGAUCUCCCAGAAAUCUAAACCUCGAUUCUUGUCUCCGUCUAACGACAUGAACAAGUUUCUGCCAGCGUAGUAUUCAAACCCUUCGGAAACUAAGAAGUUCUUGAACUCACUAUAGUCAACACUUCCAUUUCCAUCUCUGUCCAUGGCAUUGAAGAAUUGGUGUCCCAGAGUUUGAACAUCCGACGGUGCAGCGUAGUAUUGAGACACUACAAAGUUCCGAAGGUUUGCCAUUGCGCAGUCUUGUUGGUACGAGGACAUUCUAACAAUAUAUGAUAACUAUGUUGGACUUAGGUUUUUUUUUGGGUACGAUGAACUAGAUU
rnacentral:lncRNA from 1 species